GACGAACGCUGGCGGCGUGCUUAACACAUGCAAGUCGAGCGGUAAGGCCCUUUCGGGGGUACACGAGCGGCGAACGGGUGAGUAACACGUGGGUGACCUGCCUUUAGCUCUGGGAUAAGCCUGGGAAACCGGGUCUAAUACCGGAUAUGACUCCGCGGCGCAUGUUGUGGGGUGGAAAGCCCUGUGCGGCUGAGGAUGGGCCCGCGGCCUAUCAGCUUGUUGGUGGGGUGANGGCCUACCAAGGCGACGACGGGUAGCCGGCCUGAGAGGGCGACCGGCCACACUGGGACUGAGACACGGGCCCAGACUCCUACGGGAGGCAGCAGUGGGGAAUCUUGCGCAAUGGGCGAAAGCCUGACGCAGCGACGCCGCGUGAGGG
rnacentral:rRNA from 1 species